ensembl:misc_RNA Metazoa_SRP Metazoan signal recognition particle RNA
GCUGGGUGUGGUGGCGUGUGCCUGUAAUCCCAGCUACUCAGGAGGCUGAGGCAGGAAAAUCGCUUGAACCAGGGAGUUGGAGGUUGCAGUGAGCUGAGAUCGCGCCACUGCACCUCCAGCCUGGCGACAAAGCAAGACUCUGUCUCAA